rnacentral:rRNA from 1 species
CGUGUCGUGAGAUGUUGGGUUAAGUCCCGCAACGAGCGCAACCCUUGUCCUUAUUUGCCAGCACGUGAAGGUGGGGACUUUAAGGAGACUGCCGGUGAUAAACCGGAGGAAGGUGGGGAUGACGUCAAAUCAUCAUGCCCCUUAUGAGUUGGGCUACACACGUACUACAAUGGCUGGUACAAAGGGAAGCGAACCUGCGAGGGUAAGCGGACCCCAUAAAGCCAGUCUAAGUUCGGAUCGCAGUCUGCAACUCGACUGCGUGAAGUCGGAUUCGCUAGUAAUCGCAGAUCAGAAUGCUGCGGUGAAUACGUUCCCGGGUCUUGUACACAC